rnacentral:rRNA from 1 species
CCUACGGGGGGCUGCAGUGGGGAAUAUUGGACAAUGGGGGCAACCCUGAUCCAGCCAUGCCGCGUGUGUGAAGAAGGCCCUCGGGUUGUAAAGCACUUUCAGUGAGGAAGAACGCCUGGUGGUUAAUACCCAUCAGGAAAGACAUCACUCACAGAAGAAGCACCGGCUAACUCCGUGCCAGCAGCCGCGGUAAUACGGAGGGUGCGAGCGUUAAUCGGAAUUACUGGGCGUAAAGCGCGCGUAGGUGGCUUGAUAAGCCGGUUGUGAAAGCCCCGGGCUCAACCUGGGAACGGCAUCCGGAACUGUCAAGCUAGAGUGCAGGAGAGGAAGGUAGAAUUCCCGGUGUAGCGGUGAACUUCGUAGAGAUCGGGAGGAAUACCAGUGGCGAAGGCGGCCUUCUGGACUGACACUGCCACUGAGGUGCGAAAGCGUGGGUAGCAAACAGGAUUAGAUACCCCUGUAGUC